AUGCAARUCGAACGAUGAAGCCCGUGCUUGCACGGGUGGAUUAGUGGCGAACGGGUGAGUAUCACGUGAGUAACCUGCCCUUAACUCUGGGAUAAGCCUGGGAAACUGGGUCUAAUAYCGGAUACGACCAGUCACCGCAUGGUGUGCUGGUGGAAAGCUUUUGCGGUUUUGGAUGGACUCGCGGCCUAUCAGCURGACGGUGGGGUAAUGGCCUACCGUGGCGAUGACGGGUAGCCGGCCUGAGAGGGUGACCGGCCACACUGGGACUGAGACACGGCCCAGACUCCUACGGGAGGCAGCAGUGGGGAAUAUUGCACAAUGGGCGAAAGCCUGAUGCAGCGACGCCGCGUGCGGGGAUGACGGCCUUCGGGUUGUAAACCCGCUUUCAGCAGGGAAAGAAAGCGCAAGNUG
rnacentral:rRNA from 1 species